rnacentral:rRNA from 1 species
AUAACGACUCUCGGCAACGGAUAUCUCGGCUCUCGCAUCGAUGAAGAACGCAGCGAAAUGCGAUACCUGGUGUGAAUUGCAGAAUCCCGUGAAUCAUCGAGUCUUUGAACGCAAGUUGCGCCCGAGGCCAUUAGGUCGAGGGCACGCCUGCCUGGGUGUCACG